GACGUAGGGGCCGAGCGUUGUCCGGAGUUACUGGGCGUAAAGGGCGCGCAGGCGGUUUGUCACAUCGGCGGUGAAAGCCCCCCGCUCAACGGGGGAGGGUCCGUCGAGAUGGGCCGACUGGAGGCAGGGAGAGGGCGGUGGAAUUCCGGGUGUAGCGGUGAAAUGCGUAGAUAUCGGGAGGAACACCUGUGGCGAAGGCGGCCCCCUGGUUGGAUACUGACGCUGAUACGCGAAAGCGUGGGGAGCAAACAGG
rnacentral:rRNA from 1 species